CCUACGGGAGACAGCAGUGAGGAAUAUUGGUCAAUGGACGAGAGCCUGAACCAGCCAAGUAGCGUGAAGGAUGACUGCCCUAUGGGUUGUAAACUUCUUUUAUAUGGGAAUAAAAUGUUCCACGUGUGGGAUUUUGUAUGUACCAUAUGAAUAAGGAUCGGCUAACUCCGUGCCAGCAGCCGCGGUAAUACGGAGGAUCCGAGCGUUAUCCGGAUUUAUUGGGUUUAAAGGGAGCGUAGGUGGAUUGUUAAGUCAGUUGUGAAAGUUUGCGGCUCAACCGUAAAAUUGCAGUUGAAACUGGCAGUCUUGAGUACAGUAGAGGUGGGCGGAAUUCGUGGUGUAGCGGUGAAAUGCUUAGAUAUCACGAAGAACUCCGAUUGCGAAGGCAGCUCACUGGACUGCAACUGACACUGAGGCUCGAAAGUGUGGGUAUCAAACAGGAUUAGAUACCCCAGUAGUC
rnacentral:rRNA from 1 species